AAAGUAUAUUCGACUUUUUCAUCUGACCAAAAGUUUCGAAGUGUUAUAAGUGAUAUAAUCUUCCGCCAUGGAUAAUAACAGAUCAAACCAGUUGAAUUCCAACAACCCCUCCUACUGGGGAAGUCGAGGAUAUUCCGGUACUCCUUCUCAAGGGGAACAGGAUUCUUACAACGCCAGUCACCAGACUCCAUCUUAUGGAAAACAUGAUUAUGAUAACAGGUCCAACCAAAUGAACCCAAAUAAUCCCACAUAUGCUAGUUCCAGAGGAACCAGCAAGAAAUAAAGAUAUCGCAUCAAAGACAGAGCAGUUUCCUGAAUAGCUUCUACUUUUUUCAUGCAUUUCGCUAAUUUUAUUCAAUAUAUAAUCAAAUGUUGAAUUGUCUUGAAAUGCUGCUCUGUACAUAAUACUAUAUUACAAAAUAAAAACAUUUGAAAAAUA